UAAGGAAUAUUGGUCAAUGGACGCAAGUCUGAACCAGCCAUGCCGCGUGCAGGAUGAAGGCCCUCUGGGUUGUAAACUGCUUUUAUCUGGGACGAAAAACGGGAAUUCUUUCUCACUUGACGGUACCAGAGGAAUAAGCACCGGCUAACUCCGUGCCAGCAGCCGCGGUAAUACGGAGGGUGCAAGCGUUAUCCGGAUUUACUGGGUUUAAAGGGUGCGUAGGUGGGUAGGUAAGUCAGUGGUGAAAUCUUCAAGCUUAACUUGGAAACUGCCAUUGAUACUAUUUAUCUUGAAUACUUUGGAGGUAAGCGGAAUAUGUCAUGUAGCGGUGAAAUGCUUAGAUAUGACAUAGAACACCAAUUGCGAAGGCAGCUUACUACACAGUAAUUGACACUGAGGCACGAAAGCGUGGGGAUCAAACAG
rnacentral:rRNA from 1 species